UGGAGUUGCUAGCUUCAGUCACAGUUACAAGAGCAUCCCAGGGCCUUGGAAAGAAGACAGGGUGCCAGAACCCACUGGCUGUCUUUGGAGAAGCUGGAGGGUGAGGAGAAGGAAGCAGUAAACCAAAAACUAUAGCCGCCAAGAAAUGACCUAGACACUGUUUCCUUGGCAGGGCUAUUGGAGUUCUUCAUGGCUAAGCAAAUCAAGACAAAUGGAGAGAAAACACAAAGUUCUCUCAGGGAUCCAUUGAGAUGAACGUCUUAGCUAUAAAGAGCAUCUGGACUUCUUCCAUGCCUGCGUUACUCUUGUUAUUCUCUAACUCCUGCUCCCUGGAGCUGCUCUUCCUGGUGAUUGUGAUCCCAGCCUCUCUUUUGGAAACACUGUUGCAGUGGAAUGGAAGAUUAUUCUCUUGCCAUUUGAAGUUUCUGCUGUCACUGAGGUAUGCCGGCC
rnacentral:lncRNA from 1 species